UAGGGAAUCUUCCGCAAUGGGCGAAAGCCUGACGGAGCAACGCCGCGUGAGUGAAGAAGGAUUUCGGUUCGUAAAGCUCUGUUGUUAGGGAAGAAUGAUUGUGUAGUAACUAUACACAGUAGAGACGGUACCUAACCAGAAAGCCACGGCUAACUACGUGCCAGCAGCCGCGGUAAUACGUAGGUGGCAAGCGUUGUCCGGAAUUAUUGGGCGUAAAGCGCGCGCAGGUGGUUUAAUAAGUCUGAUGUGAAAGCCCACGGCUCAACCGUGGAGGGUCAUUGGAAACUGUUAAACUUGAGUGCAGGAGAGAAAAGUGGAAUUCCUAGUGUAGCGGUGAAAUGCGUAGAGAUUAGGAGGAACACCAGUGGCGAAGGCGGCUUUUUGGCCUGUAACUGACACUGAGGCGCGAAAGCGUGGGGAGCAAACAGGAUGAGAUACCCCGGGGUUGUCCACGCCGUAAACGAUGAGUGCUAAGUGUUGGUCUCAUAAGAGAUCAGUGCUGCAGCUAACGCAUUAAGCACUCCGCCUGGGGGGUACGACCGCAAGGUUG
rnacentral:rRNA from 1 species